rnacentral:rRNA from 1 species
CCCCAUGGCCACUCCACACGGAAUGCGUACCCUAUCUCAUUGGAUACCGCAAGCUAAGCAGCCUUUGAGCCUGGUUAGUUCUUGGAUGGGUGACCACCAAUGCACACUCAGGUUGCGAUAGGCU